GCGGAUGAACUGUGGGUAGCGGAGAAAUUCCAAUCGAACCCGGAGAUAGCUGGUUCUCCCCGAAAUAGUUUUAGGACUAGCCUCAAGUUAGAUACCUGGAGGUAAAGCACUGAAUAGCCUAGCGGCCGAGAGGUUAGCGAAGCUUAUCAAACUCAGAAUGCCAGAGUAUUGAUGCUUGGGAGUCAGACAGUGUCAGAUAAAUGUCAUUGUCAAAAGGGAAACAGCCCAGAUCUACAGCUAAGGUCCCAAAGUCAGGUUAAGUGGAAAACGAUGUGAAGAUACGUAGACAACCAGGAUGUUGGCUCAGAAGCAGCCACUCAUUCAAAGAGUGCGUAAUAGCUCACUGGUCGAGCGUCUUUGCGCGGAGAAUUUAACGGGGCUAAACCUGACACCGAAGCUUAGGCAGCAUGAUUACAUGCUGGGUAGGGGAGCGUUGUAUACGCGGUGAAACAGUAGCGCAAGCGGCUGUGGAGUGUAUAGAAGUGAGAAUGCCGGAAUGAGUAGCGCGAAUGCAGUGAGAAUCUGCAUGGCCGAAAGCCUCAGGUUUCUGGAGGAAGGUUCGUCCGCUCCAGGUCAGUCGGGAGCUAAGGUGAGGCCUAACGGCGUAGCCGAUGCACAGACGGUAGAGAUUCCGUCACCACCAAAAGAGUUAAACACAGGGACACAUAUGAAGUCUCGGAGCCGGGUGUUGGUUCCGGUAGCGAUCGAGGGAAGUUAGUACCGAAGUCCGAGAUGGAAGAUGGCGAGAAAAGCUGUGUGUAUUUCUGCGGUGCCCGUACCGCAAACCGACACAGGUAGGUAGGAAGAAGAUUCUAAGGCCAACGGGAGAAGGGUUGUUAAGGAACUCGGCAAAUUGACCCCGUAACUUCGGGAGAAGGGGUGCUGCAGCAAUGCAGCCGCAGAGAAUCGGCCCAAGCAACUGUUUACCAAAAACACAGGUUUGUGCUAAAUCGAAAGAUGACGUAUACGAGCUGACGCCUGCCCGGUGCUGGAAGGUUAAGAGGAGAUGUGCAAGCAUUGAAUCGAAGCCCCAGUGAACGGCGGCCGUAACUAUAACGGUCCUAAGGUAGCGAAAUUCCUUGUCAGGUAAGUUCUGACCCGCAUGAAAGGCGUAAUGAUUUGGGCACUGUCUCAACAGCCCGCCCGGCGAAAUUGUAGUACCGGUGAAGAUGCCGGUUACCCGCGACAAGACGGAAAGACCCCAUGGAGCUUUACUGUAGCCUAAUAUUGGGUUUCGAUGUUGCAUGCACAGGAUAGAUGGGACACUGGGAAGCAGGUGCUUUGGCGCUUGUGGAGUGGCCGUUGGGAUACCAUCCUUGCGAUAUUGGAAUUCUAACCUGCGCCUUUGAAUCAAGGCGGGGGACAUUGUUAGGUGGGCAGUUUGACUGGGGCGGUCGCCUCCUAAAGAGUAACGGAGGCGUUCAAAGGUUCGCUCAGCUUGAACGGAAAUCAAGCAAAAGAGUGCAAACGCAGAAGCGAGCCUAACUGCGAGACUGACGGGUCGAGCAGUAACGAAAGUUGGAGUUAGUGAUCCGGUGGUAUGUGAGUGGAAAUGCCAUCGCUCAACGGAUAAAAG
rnacentral:rRNA from 1 species